rnacentral:rRNA from 1 species
CAAGUCGAGGGGCAGCACAGGUAGCAAUACCGGGUGGCGACCGGCGCACGGGUGAGUAACGCGUAUGCAACUUGCCUAUCAGAGGGGGAUAACCCGGCGAAAGUCGGACUAAUACCGCAUGAAGCAGGGGCCCCGCAUGGGGAUAUUUGCUAAAGAUUCAUCGCUGAUAGAUAGGCAUGCGUUCCAUUAGGCAGUUGGCGGGGUAACGGCCCACCAAACCGACGAUGGAUAGGGGUUCUGAGAGGAAGGUCCCCCACAUUGGUACUGAGACACGGACCAAACUCCUACGGGAGGCAGCAGUGAGGAAUAUUGGUCAAUGGGCGUAAGCCUGAACCAGCCAAGUCGCGUGAGGGAUGAAGGUUCUAUGGAUCGUAAACCUCUUUUAUAAGGGAAUAAAGUGCGGGACGUGUCCUGUUUUGUAUGUACCUUAUGAAUAAGGAUCGGCUAACUCCGUGCCAGCAGCCGCGGUAAUACGGAGGAUCCGAGCGUUAUCCGGAUUU